ACGGCUCAGUAACACGUGGAUAACCUGCCCUAUGGUGGAGAAUAACCCCGGGAAACUGGGGAUAAUACUCCAUAGAUUAGAGAUACUGGAAUGUUCUUUAAUCGAAAGUUGAGGCGCCAUAGGAUGGAUCUGCGGUCGAUUAGGUUGUUGUUGGGGUAACGGCCCAACAAGCCUGUAAUCGAUACGGGUUGUGGGAGCAAGAGCCCGGAGAUGGAAUCUGAGACACGAUUCCAGGCCCUACGGGGCGCAGCAGGCGCGAAAACUUUACAAUGCAGGAAACUGUGAUAAGGGAACCCCGAGUGCCCGUAUACGCGGGCUGCCCAGGUGUCUAAAAAGCAUCUGAAGAAAGGGCCGGGCAAGACCGGUGCCAGCCGCCGCGGUAAUACCGGCGGCUCGAGUGGUGGCCACUAUUAUUGGGCUUAAAGCGUCCGUAGCUGGACUCUUAAGUCUCUUGGGAAAUCCGCCGGCUUAACCGACGGGCGUCUAAGAGAUACUGAGAGUCUAGGGACCGGGAGAGGUGAGAGGUACUCCGGGGGUAGGAGUGAAAUCCUGUAAUCCCUGGGGGACCACCGAUGGCGAAGGCAUCUCACCAGAACGGCUCCGACAGUGAGGGACGAAAGCUGGGGGAGCGAACCGGAUUAGAUACCCGGGUAGUCCCAGCCGUAAACUAUGCGCGUUAGGUGUACUGGUGACCACGAGUCACUGGGGUGCCGAAGGGAAACCGUGAAACGUGCCGCCUGGGAAGUACGGUCGCAAGGCUGAAACUUAAAGGAAUUGGCGGGGGAG
rnacentral:rRNA from 1 species